AUUGAACGCUGGCGGCAGGCCUAACACAUGCAAGUCGGACGGUAGCACAGAGAGCUUGCUCUUGGGUGACGAGUGGCGGACGGGUGAGUAAUGUCUGGGGAUCUGCCCGAUAGAGGGGGAUAACCACUGGAAACGGUGGCUAAUACCGCAUAACGUCGCAAGACCAAAGAGGGGGACCUUCGGGCCUCUCACUAUCGGAUGAACCCAGAUGGGAUUAGCUAGUAGGCGGGGUAAUGGCCCACCUAGGCGACGAUCCCUAGCUGGUCUGAGAGGAUGACCAGCCACACUGGAACUGAGACACGGUCCAGACUCCUACGGGAGGCAGCAGUGGGGAAUAUUGCACAAUGGGCGCAAGCCUGAUGCAGCCAUGCCGCGUGUAUGAAGAAGGCCUUCGGGUUGUAAAGUACUUUCAGCGGGGAGGAAGGCGGUGAGGUUAAUAACCUCACCGAUUGACGUUACCCGCAGAAGAAGCACCGGCUAACUCCGUGCCAGCCGCCGCGGUAA
rnacentral:rRNA from 1 species